CGGUAGCAGGAGGAAGCUUGCUUUCUUGCUGACGAGUGGCGGACGGGUGAGUAAUGCUUGGGAAUCUGGCUUAUGGAGGGGGAUAACUACUGGAAACGGUAGCUAAUACCGCGUAAUAUCGAGAGAUUAAAGGGUGGGACUUUCGGGCCACCUGCCAUAAGAUGAGCCCAAGUGGGAUUAGGUAGUUGGUGGGGUAAAUGCCUACCAAGCCUGCGAUCUCUAGCUGGUCUGAGAGGAUGGCCAGCCACACUGGAACUGAGACACGGUCCAGACUCCUACGGGAGGCAGCAGUGGGGAAUAUUGCACAAUGGGGGGAACCCUGAUGCAGCCAUGCCGCGUGAAUGAAGAAGGCCUUCGGGUUGUAAAGUUCUUUCGGUGAUGAGGAAGGUGUUUUGUUUAAUAGACAAAGCAAUUGACGUUAGUCACAGAAGAAGCACCGGCUAACUCCGUGCCAGCAGCCGCGGUAAUACGGAGGGUGCGAGCGUUAAUCGGAAUAACUGGGCGUAAAGGGCACGCAGGCGGAUUGUUAAGUGAGAUGUGAAAGCCCCGGGCUUAACCUGGGAAUUGCAUUUCAGACUGGCAGUCUAGAGUAUUUUAGGGAGGGGUAGAAUUCCACGUGUAGCGGUGAAAUGCGUAGAGAUGUGGAGGAAUACCGAAGGCGAAGGCAGCCCCUUGGGAAUAUACUGACGCUCAUGGCGAAA
rnacentral:rRNA from 1 species